rnacentral:rRNA from 1 species
GGGUAGUUUGACUGGGGCGGUCUCCUCCCAAAGCGUAACGGAGGAGCACGAAGGUUAGCUAAUCCUGGUCGGACAUCAGGAGGUUAGUGCAAUGGCAUAAGCUAGCUUGACUGCGAGCGUGACGGCGCGAGCAGGUGCGAAAGCAGGUCAUAGUGAUCCGGUGGUUCUGAAUGGAAGGGCCAUCGCUCAACGGAUAAAAGGUACUCCGGGGAUAACAGGCUGAUACCGCCCAAGAGUUCAUAUCGACGGCGGUGUUUGGCACCUCGAUGUCGGCUCAUCACAUCCUGGGGCUGAAGUAGGUCCCAAGGG